ACCGUGGUCGUCUAGUGAUUAGGACCCAACGUUGUUGCUGUAGUAACCUAGGUUCGAAUCCUAGUCACGGCA
rnacentral:tRNA from 1 species